rnacentral:rRNA from 1 species
AGACCCGAAACCCGGUGAUCUAGCCAUGGGCAGGUUGAAGGUUGGGUAACACUAACUGGAGGACCGAACCGACUAAUGUUGAAAAAUUAGCGGAUGACCUGUGGCUGGGGGUGAAAGGCCAAUCAAACCGGGAGAUAGCUGGUUCUCCCCGAAAGCUAUUUAGGUAGCGCCUCGUGAAUUCAUCUCCGGGGGUAGAGCACUGUUUCGGCUAGGGGGCCAUCCCGGCUUACCAACCCGAUGCAAACUGCGAAUACCGGAGAAUGUUAUCACGGGAGACACACGGCGGGUGCUAACGUCCGUCGUGAAGAGGGAAACAACCCAGACCGCCAGCUAAGGUCCCAAAGUCAUGGUUAAGUGGGAAACGAUGUGGGAAGGCCCAGACAGCCAGGAUGUUGGCUUAGAAGCAGCCAUCAUUUAAAGAAAGCGUAAUAGCUCACUGGUCGAGUCGGCCUGCGCGGAAGAUGUAACGGGGCUAAACCAUGCACCGAAGCUGCGGCAGCGACACUGUGUGUUGUUGGGUAGGGGAGCGUUCUGUAAGCCUGUGAAGGUGUGUCGUGAGGCAUGCUGGAGGUAUCAGAAGUGCGAAUGCUGACAUAAGUAACGAUAAAGCGGGUGAAAAGCCCGCUCGCCGGAAGACCAAGGGUUCCUGUCCAACGUUAAUCGGGGCAGGGUGAGUCGACCCCUAAGGCGAGGCCGAAAGGCGUAGUCGAUGGGAAACGGGUUAAUAUUCCCGUACUUGGUGUUACUGCGAAGGGGGGACGGAGAAGGCUAUGUUGGCCGGGCGACGGUUGUCCCGGUUUAAGCGUGUAGGUGUGUGUUCCAGGUAAAUCCGGUUCACUUUAACACUGAGGCGUGACGACGAGGCACUACGGUGCUGAAGCAACAAAUGCCCUGCUUCCAGGAAAAGCCUCUAAGCAUCAGGUAACAUCAAAUCGUACCCCAAACCGACACAGGUGGUCAGGUAGAGAAUACCAAGGCGCUUGAGAGAACUCGGGUGAAGGAACUAGGCAAAAUGGUGCCGUAACUUCGGGAGAAGGCACGCUGACACGUAGGUGAAGUGAUUUACUCAUGGAGCUGAAGUCAGUCGAAGAUACCAGCUGGCUGCAACUGUUUAUUAAAAACACAGCACUGUGCAAACACGAAAGUGGACGUAUACGGUGUGACGCCUGCCCGGUGCCGGAAGGUUAAUUGAUGGGGUCAGCGCAAGCGAAGCUCCUGAUCGAAGCCCCGGUAAACGGCGGCCGUAACUAUAACGGUCCUAAGGUAGCGAAAUUCCUUGUCGGGUAAGUUCCGACCUGCACGAAUGGCGUAAUGAUGGCCAGGCUGUCUCCACCCGAGACUCAGUGAAAUUGAACUCGCUGUGAAGAUGCAGUGUACCCGCGGCAAGACGGAAAGACCCCGUGAACCUUUACUAUAGCUUGACACUGAACAUUGAGCCUUGAUGUGUAGGAUAGGUGGGAGGCUUUGAAGUGUGGACGCCAGUCUGCAUGGAGCCGACCUUGAAAUACCACCCUUUAAUGUUUGAUGUUCUAACGUGGACCCGUUACCCGGGUUGCGGACAGUGUCUGGUGGGUAGUUUGACUGGGGCGGUCUCCUCCUAAAGAGUAACGGAGGAGCACGAAGGUUGGCUAAUCCUGGUCGGACAUCAGGAGGUUAGUGCAAUGGCAUAAGCCAGCUUGACUGCGAGCGUGACGGCGCGAGCAGGUGCGAAAGCAGGUCAUAGUGAUCCGGUGGUUCUGAAUGGAAGGGCCAUCGCUCAACGGAUAAAAGGUACUCCGGGGAUAACAGGCUGAUACCGCCCAAGAGUUCAUAUCGACGGCGGUGUUUGGCACCUCGAUGUCGGCUCAUCACAUCCUGGGGCUGAAGUAGGUCCCAAGGGUAUGGCUGUUCGCCAUUUAAAGUGGUACGCGAGCUGGGUUUAGAACGUCGUGAGACAGUUCGGUCCCUAUCUGCCGUGGGCGCUGGAGAACUGAGGGGGGCUGCUCCUAGUACGAGAGGACCGGAGUGGACGCAUCACUGGUGUUCGGGUUGUCAUGCCAAUGGCACUGCCCGGUAGCUAAAUGCGGAAGAGAUAAGUGCUGAAAGCAUCUAAGCACGAAACUUGCCCCGAGAUGAGUUCUCCCUGAGACUUAGAGUCUCCUGAAGGAACGUUGAAGACGACGACGUUGAUAGGCCGGGUG